AAUCAGUGUGUGUGUUAGUGGAAGCGUCUGGAAAGGCGCGCGAUACAGGGUGACAGCCCCGUACACAAAAAUGCACAUGCUGGGAGCUCGAUGAGUAGGGCGGGACACGUGGUAUCCUGUCUGAAUAUGGGGGGACCAUCCUCCAAGGCUAAAUACUCCUGACUGACCGAUAGUGAACCAGUACCGUGAGGGAAAGGCGAAAAGAACCCCGGCGAGGGGAGUGAAAAAGAACCUGAAACCGUGUACGUACAAGCAGUGGGAGCACGCUUAGGCGUGUGACUGCGUACCUUUUGUAUAAUGGGUCAGCGACUUAUAUUCUGUAGCAAGGUUAACCGAAUAGGGGAGCCGAAGGGAAACCGAGUCUUAACUGGGCGUUAAGUUGCAGGGUAUAGACCCGAAACCCGGUGAUCUAGCCAUGGGCAGGUUGAAGGUUGGGUAACACUAACUGGAGGACCGAACCGACUAAUGUUGAAAAAUUAGCGGAUGACUUGUGGCUGGGGGUGAAAGGCCAAUCAAACCGGGAGAUAGCUGGUUCUCCCCGAAAGCUAUUUAGGUAGCGCCUCGUGAAUUCAUCUCCGGGGGUAGAGCACUGUUUCGGCAAGGGGGUCAUCCCGACUUACCAACCCGAUGCAAACUGCGAAUACCGGAGAAUGUUAUCACGGGAGACACACGGCGGGUGCUAACGUCCGUCGUGAAGAGGGAAACAACCCAGACCGCCAGCUAAGGUCCCAAAGUCAUGGUUAAGUGGGAAACGAUGUGGGAAGGCCCAGACAGCCAGGAUGUUGGCUUAGAAGCAGCCAUCAUUUAAAGAAAGCGUAAUAGCUCACUGGUCGAGUCGGCCUGCGCGGAAGAUGUAACGGGGCUAAACCAUG
rnacentral:rRNA from 1 species